rfam:Coccidioides immitis RMSCC 3703 supercont1.57 genomic scaffold, whole genome shotgun sequence.
UACCUGGUUGAUUCUGCCAGUAGUCAUAUGCUUGUCUCAAAGAUUAAGCCAUGCAUGUCUAAGUAUAAGCAAUUUGUACGGUGAAACUGCGAAUGGCUCAUUAAAUCAGUUAUCGUUUAUUUGAUAGUACCUUACUACAUGGAUACCCGUGGUAAUUCUAGAGCUAAUACAUGCUAAAAACCUCGACUUCGGAAGGGGUGUAUUUAUUAGAUAAAAAACCAAUGCCCUUCGGGGCUCUUUGGUGAUUCAUAAUAACUUGUCGAAUCGCAUGGCCUUGCGCUGGCGAUGGUUCAUUCAAAUUUCUGCCCUAUCAACUUUCGAUGGUAGGAUAGUGGCCUACCAUGGUGGCAACGGGUAACGGGGAAUUAGGGUUCGAUUCCGGAGAGGGAGCCUGAGAAACGGCUACCACAUCCAAGGAAGGCAGCAGGCGCGCAAAUUACCCAAUCCCAACACGGGGAGGUAGUGACAAUAAAUACUGAUACAGGGCUCUUUCGGGUCUUGUAAUUGGAAUGAGUACAAUUUAAAUCCCUUAACGAGGAACAAUUGGAGGGCAAGUCUGGUGCCAGCAGCCGCGGUAAUUCCAGCUCCAAUAGCGUAUAUUAAAGUUGUUGCAGUUAAAAAGCUCGUAGUUGAACCUUGGGUCUGGCUGGCCGGUUCCCUUCGCGGCGUGCACUGGUCCGGCUGGACCUUUCCUUCUGGGGAACCCUAUGGCCUUCACUGGCUGUAGGGGGAACCAGGACUUUUACUGUGAAAAAAUUAGAGUGUUCAAAGCAGGCCUUUGCUCGGAUACAUUAGCAUGGAAUAAUAGAAUAGGACGUGUGGUUCUAUUUUGUUGGUUUCUAGGACCGCCGUAAUGAUUAAUAGGGAUAGUCGGGGGCGUCAGUAUUCGGCUGUCAGAGGUGAAAUUCUUGGAUUUGCUGAAGACUAACUACUGCGAAAGCAUUCGCCAAGGAUGUUUUCAUUAAUCAGUGAACGAAAGUUAGGGGAUCGAAGACGAUCAGAUACCGUCGUAGUCUUAACCAUAAACUAUGCCGACUAGGGAUCGGGACGGGCAACUUUGAAUAACCCCGGUUCGGCACCUUACGAAGAAAAUCAAAGUUUUUGGGUUCUGGGGGGGGAGUAUGCGUCGCAAGGCUGAAAACUUUAAAGAAAUUGACGGAAGGGCACCACCCAGGCGUGGGAGCCCUGCGGCUUUAAUUUGACUCAACACCGAGCCACAACUCACUCACGGUCCAAAACAAAAUAAGGGGAUUGACAGAUUGGAGGAGCUCUUUUCUGGAAUCUGUUGGGAUGGAGGGUGCCAUGGGCCGGUCUCUUAGUUUGGUGGAGGUGAUUUUUGUCUUGCUUUAUUUGCCGAUUACCCGAACGGAGACUCUUUAACCUUGCU